ACCAGAGACUCGGUGAAAUUAUAGUACCUGUGAAGAUGCAGGUUACCCGCGACAGGACGGAAAGACCCCGUGGAGCUUUACUGUAGCCUGAUAUUGAAUUUUGGUACAGUUUGUACAGGAUAGGCGGGAGCCAUUGAAACCGGAGCGCUAGCUUCGGUGGAGGCGCUGGUGGGAUACCGCCCUGACUGUAUUGAAAUUCUAACCUACGGGUCUUAUCGACCCGGGAGACAGUGUCAGGUGGGCAGUUUGACUGGGGCGGUCGCCUCCUAAAGUGUAACGGAGGCGCCCAAAGGUUCCCUCAGAAUGGUUGGAAAUCAUUCGUAGAGUGCAAAGGCAUAAGGGAGCUUGACUGCGAGACCUACAAGUCGAGCAGGGACGAAAGUCGGGCUUAGUGAUCCGGUGGUUCCGCAUGGAAGGGCCAUCGCUCAACGGAUAAAAGCUACCCCGGGGAUAACAGGCUUAUCUCCCCCAAGAGUCCACAUCGACGGGGAGGUUUGGCACCUCGAUGUCGGCUCAUCGCAUCCUGGGGCUGUAGUCGGUCCCAAGGGUUGGGCUGUUCGCCCAUUAAAGCGGUACGCGAGCUGGGUUCAGAACGUCGUGAGACAGUUCGGUCCCUAUCCGUCGUGGGCGUAGGAAAUUUGAGAGGAGCUGUCCUUAGUACGAGAGGACCGGGAUGGACGCACCGCUGGUGUACCAGUUGUUCUGCCAAGGGCAUAGCUGGGUAGCUAUGUGCGGAAGGGAUAAGUGCUGAAAGCAUCUAAGCAUGAAGCCCCCCUCAAGAUGAGAUUUCCCAUAGCGUAAGCUAGUAAGAUCCCUGAAAGAUGAUCAGGUUGAUAGGUUCGAGGUGGAAGCAUGGUGACAUGUGGAGCUGACGAAUACUAAUAGAUCGAGGACUUAACCAU
rnacentral:rRNA from 1 species